UACGAAGGGGGCUAGCGUUGCUCGGAAUUACUGGGCGUAAAGCGCACGUAGGCGGUCUUUUAAGUCGGGGGUGAAAUCCUGGAGCUCAACUCCAGAACUGCCUUCGAUACUGGAAGACUUGAGUCCGGGAGAGGUGAGUGGAACUGCGAGUGUAGAGGUGAAAUUCGUAGAUAUUCGCAAGAACACCAGUGGCGAAGGCGGCUCACUGGCCCGGUACUGACGCUGAGACGCGAAAGCGUGGGGAGCGAACAGG
rnacentral:rRNA from 1 species